AGACCGCCCGGGGAGUACGGCCGCAAGGUAAAAAACUCAAAUGAAUUGACGGGGGCCCGCACAAGCGGUGGAGCAUGUGGUUUAAUUCGAUGCAACGCGAAGAACCUUACCUGGUCUUGACAUAUCUAGAAUCCUGCAGAGAUGCGGGAGUGCCUUCGGGAAUUAGAAUACAGGUGCUGCAUGGCUGUCGUCAGCUCGUGUCGUGAGAUGUUGGGUUAAGUCCCGCAACGAGCGCAACCCUUGUCCUUAGUUACCAGCGGGUUAAGCCGGGAACUCUAAGGAUACUGCCAGUGACAAACUGGAGGAAGGCGGGGACGACGUCAAGUCAUCAUGGCCCUUACGACCAGGGCUACACACGUGCUACAAUGGUAGGUACAGAGGGCAGCUACACAGCGAUGUGAUGCGAAUCUCAAAAAGCCUAUCGUAGUCCAGAUUGGAGUCUGCAACUCGACUCCAUGAAGUAGGAAUCGCUAGUAAUCGCGGAUCAGAAUGCCGCGGUGAAUACGUUCCCGGGCCUUGUACACACCGCCCGUCACACCAUGGGAGUUGAUUGCACCAGAAGUGGAUAGCUUAACCUUCGGGAAGGCGUUCACCACGGUGUGGUUGAUGGCGAGUUGAUGUAGAUCAGAUCACGGCAUCAAA
rnacentral:rRNA from 1 species